CGGGACGUGGCGCAGCUCGGUAGCGCGCACCCUUGGGGUGGGUGAGGUCGCAGGUUCAAAUCCUGUCGUUCCGA
rfam:Tepidibacillus sp. Z9 scaffold00001, whole genome shotgun sequence.